CGAUUUUCACUCCACACGCCCGGUAAAACAGUGGGGCGUCUAUAGUAUUCUCUCGCAAUCCAGUGCGCGUUGGCGACGCCAUUCUGUUCUUCGCAUUUUGUGGUCUUGAUUCUCCCUCAUCAUCUUCCAUCGCAGUAGAGGCAAGUGGCGGGGAACACCUGCUCGUGGUGUCAGCGGAGGUAAGAAGUUAAAAGGUUUCUCAUUCUCAACCUGGUGUCUCGCACAGUUGCAAAAUGGAUGAUGAUUUUGUUUCACCACCUUUGGAGUUCCUUGCAAGACUGCAAGAAGUCCCAGUGUGAAAUGUCCCAAUUUUUUGCUCACAGUUGGCAACUUGAAAGUCCCAGUGUGAAAUGCCAUAAUACUACCGCUCAAACACUUAUUAGGUCUUCACAACUGCGGAUUGUUAGAUCCUAAAUACGAAACAGUUUUGUAAAUGUUUGCUCUUAAGGCUUGUAUUCUAUUUUAAAUUAACAUUUUUACUUGUUUUUCUAGAUGUGCAACAAUCCUAAAUACGAAACAGUUUUGUAAAUGUUUGCUCUUAAAGCUUGUAUUCUAUUUUAAAUUAACAUUUUUACU